GACGAACGCUGGCGGCGUGCUUAACACAUGCAAGUCGAACGGUGAUCUUGGGAGCUUGCUCCUGGGUGAUCAGUGGCGAACGGGUGAGUAACACGUGAGUAACCUGCCCCUGACUCUGGAAUAACUUCGGGAAACCGAAGCUAAUACCGGAUAUGACACAGAGCCGCAUGGUUUCUGUGUGGAAAGUUUUUUCGGUUGGGGGUGGACUCGCGGCCUAUCAGCUUGUUGGUGAGGUAAUGGCUGACCAAGGCGACGACGGGUAGCCGGCCUGAGAGGGCGACCGGCCACACUGGGACUGAGACACGGCCCAGACUCCUACGGGAGGCAGCAGUGGGGAAUAUUGCACAAUGGGCGAAAGCCUGAUGCAGCGACGCCGCGUGAGGGAUGAAGGCCUUCGGGUUGUAAACCUCUUUCAGUAGGGAAGAAGCGCAAGUGACGGUACCUACAGAAGAAGCACCGGCUGACUACGUGCCAGCCGCCGCCGUAAGAC
rnacentral:rRNA from 1 species